UACAGAGGUCCCAAGCGUUGUUCGGAUUCAUUGGGCGUAAAGGGUGCGUAGGCGGCGCGGUAAGUCGGGUGUGAAAUCUCGGGGCUUAACUCCGAAACUGCAUUCGAUACUGCCGUGCUUGAGGACUGGAGUGGAGACUGGAAUUUACGGUGUAGCGGUGAAAUGCGUAGAUAUCGUAAGGAAGACCAGUGGCGAAGGCGGGUCUCUGGACAGUUCCUGACGCUGAGGCACGAAGGUCAGGGGAGCAAACGGG
rnacentral:rRNA from 1 species